CUGAGAUUGAACUCCUAUUUGAUUCCUGAAAUCAAAAGGAACAUAGAUUCAACCUUUGGUGAGUUGGUGAUAAGGGAAAGACCACGGAACACUAAAAAUAGUCCAUAAACUCACGACAAACCCGAGAGCACAAUGAACAACACAUGGGCAGCAACAACAUAAAGAAACCGACACAAAAACAAAAGGAUACAAACACACAAAUAAUGCAAUAAAGUAAAGGAUAGUUAAAAAGACAUAAGAUAUUAUGAAACAAAGAGAAGCAAAACAUAUAUCAAAUGUAAAGACCCUCAAAGUCAUAACAUCAAAAACUAAUCUUCUUACGGUGACCUCUAAGGAAAUCAACUCCACCUUACAACUAUCGUUUCUAAGCAAAGAUCAAUAAUGGCUUUUUCAAGCCCUACACUAAGGGUGUUACACUCUAAAAUAGAGAAGAAGUCUUUUGCAUAUUCAUCAUUCAAAAACUAAUGUGAAAAGACCUAAAAGAGACUAUAUAUAGCCUUAUUACAUAAUGGAAGACAAAAUAACUCCAAUACCCUUAAUGAGGUGGGGCGGCCAUGGAGUGUUACUUGGACAAGGCUAAGCGACCAAAAUGCCCUUAAUGAAGGUCCCAAAACCGUGGGUCCUCAAUAUUCAAUUCUCCAAGCAAUCUUCCACACGCGGGAUUACUCUUUGGUGUACUUAAAUCGGCCCCUCCAUGUAGGAUCCCAUGUCCUCAAUGCAACCAAAGCUUGAUGCCCCCGUACCGACUUUGAAUGAUGUUAUCGAAAGCUAAGAUGGCUAUUUGACUUGUAUCAUCCUCCCCUCCUUGAAAAGGAUUCGACAUUGAAUCCAUACCUUGCAAAAUAAGAGAAAGGACAAACAAGCACAACUUCAUCAUGGCAUGAGGGUUAGAGUUAGUACAAUAAUAAACAUCGACACGCCAAGGCAGAACAUACUUGAAAUAUUACCAUGAAUCCAUUGUGUUAGUCAUGGAAAGCUUAGCAAAAACAUCACAAAGGGUAUGGUUAAGAAAAGUAUCAAGAGAUAAAGAAACUACAAAGGACUCAAUAGUAUCCCGAAGUCCAAUGGUAAGGCUACCUGUAACUUAGGGACCAUAAAGCACAAUUGUUUCAUUACCUCUUCAAGUGACCUCAUCAAACAUGGUGCCGCUAUUGUUCUUAAAGCCCACCAAACACACAUAUCAUAGUCAUUAUAAAAAGUAGACCAACUAACAAGUUUCUUACCUCUACAUAAUACAAAUCCAAAACUAGCAUGGAUGUCACAUAGGCAAAGAGGUAGUAUAGGAAAGAACUAAGUGUAAAGGUAUACACGGGUGAAAAUAAAGCAUUUAAGCACAUACACAUUCUUUUUUUCAAGAAAAUAGGCAACUUGGCAUUCUCAAGUUGGUAUUCAUGCAAUGUAAGCACAAGUGUGUCAAACAAGGAGGCAAAUUUAGAAACAUUACCCGAAGGAGUCAAUGAAACCUUUGCCCUCGGGUUUUCAAGAAAGACUACAAAUUCCUUACCCUUAAGAGUACUCUCAUCUUUCAAAAAGAGAUUUUCAUCUUUAGGAGGGAUGUUUUCACAUUAUAGUAGGUUAACAUAUAGGCUAUAGCCUCCAAGGAAAGCAAUACUAUCAUUUUCUCCACUAGGUUCAUUAGGAGUGUUCAAAUCAUCUUCAAACAAGACAUUAUACCUAAAGAGAGCAUAAUCUAUCUCACGGCAUAUUUAGAACAAGUAAGUCUUUUACGCUCUAAAAGACAAUUAUAAAGUUUCAAAGUGGUUUCAAGUACACGAUUAUCCCUAUGAGCUACGCAAACCAUGGAAUCCAUAUCACAAAGAUAGCUCAUGGGUUCACUCCUAGUUUGUUGACCAACAUUCUCAAAUACUUCAAUCACUUAGGUUCCAUUAAUUACAACACACAUAACCUCAAGUGGUGAGCAAGUUUCACAAAUAAGUUGAUCAACACCAUUUACACAAGAUGAUGUACUCUCAUUCAACAUAUUGGCUUCAACACUAGGUGGACAUAAAUUAAUUUUACAAGAAGAGUCAAUUUGGUCAUCAAUAGGAUCAACUAGUGGAUCCACACGCACAACAUGUACAUCAUCAAAAAGAGGAAAAGAAUUAUUAGACUCAUAAGUAAGUAAGCCACUACUCACACUCAAUGGGCUACUAGCCACAAAAUUCUCAUUUUCAAGCACAAAAGUGUAAGAGUUAGCUAUUUUACCUUGUAGAUCACAUGAGCUAUGGUAUUCAUCUUUACGUGUGUUCGAGAAGCUCACUUUCUCCCUUGGACCUACCAUACAAUCCAACCUUUUAUUCACUAUACCCAUGUCUCGAGAAAUAGUGUCAAAAUAGGCUAAAAUGACAUUGGUGACAUUGUUGUCCAUGAUUUGAGAGGUGGAAGCCUUAGGUUCCAUUGCAAUUGUACCUAAAACAAGUACCUAAAACAAACAAAGAAACAAACCUACAAAAUGAACAAACAAGAUUAGUAGUAAAAGCUCCACACCAACACUCGUAGACACUCACUUUUAUGAUCCUCACAAUUGGAGCGGCUAAUAUUGAAAGUUGCUUAUACUCCGGUAGUCAAUAAAAUGUCAAUUCUACUUGGCGAUAGGAAUAGAUUCUUGUUUGAUCAACUCAAGGUACAAAAUAGAAAAUUCUACUUACGAACUUGAAACAAAGAAGUUCAACAAAUCAAAAUGAGAAAAGCACACAAAGAACGAAAACACGAAAAAAAAAUGGACUCAAAUAACUAAUUCACAACCUAGUAGGUGAUUACUAAUUGCUAAUUAGUACUAAACUCAAGAAAUGAAACAAAGGAAACAAAGAAAAGAAACUUAGAAAUCAAAAAAUUUUGAGCCUAAGGUUGUUUUUAGAGGGUGAUGAUGUGGCACUUUGAUGACAUCGCAAAUUGGUGACAUAGUAAUUUUGUGACAGGGCAGUUUAUAAUUUGGAUUGGUCAAAUUUUAAUUUGAAAUGGUGAAAAUCAAUUUUGGGAGGAAACAACAAGACUUGGAGCCUUUUUUUUAAUUUUAAAAAGGUUUGACUUCCUUGCACCCUUUUGGUAAGAUACCUUUUUGAAAGGUUAUUGGCUCUUUCCUCUUUUGUUAGUCUUGGAAUAAGCUCUUACUCCCUUUUAGUAAACAAGACUUUUGAAAGCCCUUUUGUCCCCUUUUCUUUUUGGAUGUCUUGGGAUUGUGUCUUUCAAGACAAACACCAAACCACACUCCUUUCUUCACCCUUUUAGAUCAAAACACUCCUUUUUGAAUGUUCUUACUAAAAAAUACAUGAAGAACAACAAUAAGAAGAAGAAUAUUCAAGAAUGGAAACCAACCCAAAUGAGCUCCAAAUUGAAUGAUUUUUGUUUUUUUUUAGCUCACGUUAACCUCCACAACAAAAACAACAUAUUUCAAACCCACAUCCUUAAUAACAAACAUCAACAACACACUUUUAAGACAUCAAUCCUCAAAAAAACAGCAACCAUCAAGGUUCAAGAAUAACUCAAAAAUGGCUCAAAAUUUGGAUCUAGACUCUUUUAGUGUUAGUGAAGAAGGGCAUAACACUAGAAACAACCAAAAUCCAUAAAAAUAUCCUAAAUCUAAGAUACAAAUUUCGGCCUAGACACCAAAAAUGGGACAGAAUGUUUCUCUUUUGGAUUUUCGGUUUUUCAACACCUUUUUUUAUGAUUUUCAAGUUAACAAGCCCAAGAUUUAUUCCGUAGGAAUGAAAUCAAUUCUUGCUCUGAUACCAAAUGAUAAGGGAACGACCAUGGAACACUAAAAAUGGUCCACAAACUUAAUACAAAUCCGAGAGCACAAUGAACAACACAUGGGCUGCAACAAUACAACGAAACCGAGACAAGAACAAAAGGAUACAACCACACAAAUAAUGAAAUAAAGUAAAGGAUAGUUAAGAAGACAUAAGAUCUUAUAAAACAAAGAGAACCAAAACAUAUAUUAAACAUAAAGACACUUAAAGUCGCAACAUCAAACACCAAUCUUCUUACGGUGACCGCUAAGGGAAUCAACUCCACCUUACAACCAUCAUUUCUAAGCAAAGAUCAAUAAUGGCUUUUUCAAGCCCUACACUAAUGGCUUUUUCAAGACCUACGUUAAGGGUGUUACACUUUUAAAUAGAGAAGAAGUCUUUCACAUAUUCAUCAUUCAAAAAAUAAAGUGAAAAGACCUAAAAGAGACGAUAUAUAGACUUAUUAUAUAAUGAAAGACAAAAUAACUCCAAUACCCUUAAUGAGGUAGGAAGGCCAUGGAGUGUUACUUGGACAAGGCUAAGCGACCAAAAUGCCCUUAAUGAAGGGCCCAAAACCAUGAGUCCUCAAUAUUCAAUUCUUCAAGAAAUCUUCCACAUGCGGGAAUGCUCUUUGGUGUACUCAAAUCAGCCCUUCCAUGUAGGAUCCUGUGUCCUCAAUACGGCCAAAGCUUGAUACCCCACGUACUGAUUUCGAAUAAUAUUAUCAAAAGCAAAGGCGGCCAUUUGACUUGUAUCAUUGGGAAAAACCUUCAUUCGAAAGCUGCAAAGUUCGGUCCAUCAUAAAAGAAAGACUUUUGUAAAUUACAGAAGUAAGAGUAGAAAUAUGGUGCUAGCAAAAGAGGAGAGAGAAAAGAAAGUGUCUCAGAAAACAAGCAGCACUAAGUUAUAAAUACAUAAAUGAAGCUUAAAUACGCUUAUCAAAAAACAUAAAAAUAAGGCAUAAAAAUAGGGCAUAGAAAGGACCAGAUCAUGUAUGGAUGACCUACUUGGCUUUAAUUUGCAUAUCUACUUCAAACAGUGACUAAUUAAAUCAAGACGAUUUACUUAUAAAAUAAUAUGGAAGGAACAAUAUCAAGAAUGAUCCCCUAACUCAAUAGCACUUUGUUGUGUACGACAAUGAUGACAUGGGAAUGUAAGAACUAAUAAUGAUUUUUGUAAUAUUCAAGCACACUUUAUGGUGACAAAUGAUGUCUUCUCCAUAUCAGGAGAAGUAGCGAAGAUUUACACAUGUGGUUUGUGGUGGUAAUUAAGCCAAACGGAUGCGAUCUUGCAUAUUUAAAAAUAGUUGAAUGUGUCAUGAAUCUUGAUCCUAAAGAACUACUUAUUCCUCUCAAAUAGUGUUACCAAAGGGGAAAAGCAAAAAAGAGGCUACAACAUUGAGAUAUUAAAUUUACUUGUAUAGAAUUGCCAUCACAUAAAUAUUAGAGAUGAAUAACCAGUAUACAAAAUAGCCAUUUAGAAUAUAUGAACCUGUGAAGUUAACUCAGCUCCAAAAAAGCAUCUGUACAAGUUACCAAAAGGCUAUUACUCGGUGAACUUCAUCCUGAAUACUACUUGCAGUGUUUAAUAUGACCAACUUACAAAACAUGAGAUAAAUAAAUUAACAACAGGUUUGAGAUAUAUUAGAUUUCAUAUACAACUGCAUUUUAUAACAACACAUUGUCAAAUGAAAACAAAUUCAGCAUAUGUUGAUUCAAAGUUUAAGCAAACAUGAAAUAUUAGAAGAAACAUGUGGCAGAGGUAUAUGCAACAGCCAUGUAAGUUAAAAUAAGAAGUCCUAACUAUUUCAGCUAAGCUCAGGAAGCCAAAAUAAAAUUAGUCACAGUAAAGCCAGAACAAAGGAAGAGCAGAGUAAAUGAAGAAGAAUGAAUUCUCAGUGAUUUGCUCAACAACACAUGAGUUAUUGCUUAUAUGUUUGCAGCACUGCAUAUUUGAGAAGAAACCCAAAUUGAUACCAAUUCAAAAUUGGAUGAUCUCACCUUCCAGAUAUACUGUACAAGAAAGAAGUAAGAAGCAUCUCAAAUUAAGAAACAUAACUGUAGAGAGAAAACUGUAAAAUAAAUAGUUCAACAUAUAUAGAUUAAAUUAAAUAAGAAGAAAUAAAUAAUUAAUUGCAUAAAAAGGGUCAUAAAAUAACAAGGACAAAGAUGAAAUAUUAAUAAUUUUAUGGUUCAAGGAUAAGGAUGAUAAUCCUGAUAUAAAUUCAAUGUAACCCCCAAAUUCAAUAGAAAUCAAUAAUAUCUGAUAAUACCAUAAGAAGGAAGCACAAGGUAAUACAGCUUUCACACACUCAUAUGUUGAUCGCCAAUCCAUAAAAGAUUGCAUUAAGCAUACCAAAGAGAAAGAACAACAACAAAUAUAACACAAAUUAACCUCUUUCUCUGUCUCCUCUGUAUUAAAUAAGUUGUCUACAGGUAGACAAGUUAAAUUUAUCAAAAGUAUCAUGAGAAAAAUCACAAAUAUAACUUUAAAAAAAACUAUACUACUUAAGCUAAUCUGUUAAAUCAGUAAAAGUGAAGUUCCUAUGAUUUUAGGACAAAAAGGGUCUUAAGUCCAAAAUGGGAUUUCAAAACAUAUUAGCAUCUUGUCUGAGAAGCAAAACAAAAUAAACAAAAAGAAACCUUCAUUACGUGAGCAUUAAAACAUGUAAGAAGAUUUAAAACAAGAAAAUCUGCUAUGUUUUUUCAUUACUGCUAGCCAAUAAAUGACAGCUAUAUAUCUAUUUAACACCCUUAAAUACUUAUUUUUUCACCCAAAGAAAUCCACCAAAUCUCAACUCCCGACCAAAAGCCAAAAAAGGUGUUCCAGAACUCCAUAUUCUAACUUCUAACAACACAUAAAAGCACCAAAAGAAUCAAAAAUAAAAUAAAAGAGCUAAGAAUCCAAAAAAAUCCACUAAAUCUCAACUCCCUAACAAGAAAAAUCAAAAGAGGUAUUCAAGAAUCUCAUGUUCUAACAUCUAACAACAUACAAAAAUCACAAAAAUAAGCAACAAAAACACAAAAGAGAUAUUCUAGAAUAUCAUGUUCUAACAUAACAAACGCACAAAAAUCAUCAAAAUAAGCCCGAAAAUAAAUAAAUUAAAGGGGCAUUCAAGAAUCUCAUGUUCUAACAUCUUACAACACACAAAACGCACAAAACUAAGCACAAAAAACACAAAAACAAUAUUAAAUAAUCUAAUGUUCUUAAAUCUAAACACACUUAAAAAUCACAAAAUUAAGAGAAAAAUAAACAUAAAAGGGGUAUUCAAGAAUCUCAUAGUUUACCUUCUAGCAAUAGAAAAAAAUAAAAAAAGUAAGACCAAAAAAAUAAAAAAACUAAAUGAGUCUAUAAGAAUCCCAUGUUCUAAUAUCUAAUAACACACAAAAAGCAAAACAAAUAAGUAAAAAACAAAAAAAAAGGUAUUCAAGAAUCCUAUGUUCUAAUAUCUAACAUACACAAAAAUCACAAAAGUAAGCACAAAAAGAGGUAUUCAAAAAUCUCAUAUUCUACUGUAAUACCCCGUAUGUUUCCAAGAUAGGAAAUGAAUCAAUUCUCCUACGUAUGAAACCUCAUAUCCUGAGAUUCAUAUUUGAGUACAUGAUUUAUAAUGAGUAUCCUAGCGAUAAGAUAUCUUAUGAUGUGUUAAGCAUGCACAUGUGAGUCACUCAGAGUAAGGCAAGCUAAUAGCUUUUGGAUCCAUCAAGUAUUAGUGUGUGAUUCCACAAGAGUAACCUUUGAACUAGAAUAACUUAAUUUAUAUGUAACAUUUUGGCAGAUUUAGACCCACUAAAUUGUACAGAAUUGAAUUAGCUUUCCAACGAUUCUAAUUUUAUGAAAAUCCGACACCCGAGCAAUAAGUUAUGGCCCUGCAAAGUAGGAGUGCGGCUACUGGAACAAGUGUGUGACAGGUUAUGCGGUGCACACCCUCAAGUGUGCGAUAGCAUGUGCGACAAACACCUUAGCUUAUGUGAUAGGAUGUGCAGCGCACACCUUAGCAUGUGCGAUGAGGUGUGCAACGCACACUUAUGAUUUCAGCCAUGAAAAACACUUAGAUUUUGAGUUAUUUUCAGGAUAAUUAAGUCUAUUAACACUUCUUACAUGUCCCAAUACUUAACCUCACGAAAUUUAUAGCUUCUAAUCAUAUUAAAAACCUAUUAACAUCUUAAGUUCAUUAUCCAAGAGCACAAGAAGGAGAAAAACUACUAGGGGUGCAUAAUCAAGGUUGAAGGUCCAAUCUUUCAACAAUUUCAUCACCAUUAAGGUAUGCAUAGUGUUUAUCCAUGGAUUUCUUUCAUUCGUGGAGUUCAAGAAUCAAUCUUUGAUAACAAAAUCAUGAAUAUUUUGUGGUGAUAUGGUUGUAUUCAUGUUGUUAUUAGUGGUUUGUGUUAUAGAGUGGGAAUUUGAUGAACUUCCAGGAAAAUUAUGAUCAUAUAGUUGGAACCCAUGAAUUCGGGUGGAUUAAAGUGGUGUAAGUUUGUGAAUACACCUAUACCUUAAAGAGUGCAUACAAGGUGUUUAUAAAAUGCUUAGUAUGUGAUAAACCAAGUUUCCAUGACUCAAUAGUAUUUGAAUGACAAGCUAAUGUUAACCAUUAUAAUUUGAUAUGAAUUCCAUGCUCUAUGCUUUAUGAUUUCACAUGAACUCCACGUUGUUGUUAUGUGUCAUGGUUGUGGUAUAGAACGAGCAUGAUAUUGAAGCUAUGCAAGUAAUUACAUGUCGUAUGAAUUCCCCUUUCCAUGUAUAAGGUGCUAAGAACUAGGAUUAGUAUGAAAUCCCUUACUUAUGAUAUUAUGAAUUGUGGACUCCAAUUUUGUGAACAAGUCAUGUCAUGUGUGUCAGUUUCCCUCUAUCAAGUCCUGGGCGUAUUGGUACUUAAAAAAUAUAGCUGUGUGCCUAAAGCCAUAUCAUAUUUUUACGAUACUCUCAGUCAAGCUAUGAUCUAUAGAAAUCAGUCAGUCAUAUGACUCAGGAAAACUCAAUAAUCUCAGUAGUUCAGUAUUCUCAGUAAUCUCAGUGCUCAGUAGCCUCGGUAAUCAUAGUAAAUCUCAGUAACUUCAGUACUCUUAAUCAGUCCUCAGAACUCAUUAUAUUUCGUCCGUCAUCAGAAUCCAGUAAACUUAGUUUUAGCUUCGCUAACUAAUACCACUAGUAGCAGUUCAGUUAAUCAGUAUCAAUUCAGCAAAUCAGUUCAGUUAAGUUAUUUAGUUUAGCCCAGUUAUUUAGUUCAGUGUCUUUUAGAUAGGAGUAGGAUUCGGCACCGAGUAAACCUAGGGAUGGGGGCUCACCCCCUAAAAUUGGACUGAGAUCCCUAGAAGCAAUCCCCAAGUUCCAGAACUACGUUGCUAGCAUAGGUAUGAGAUGUCACCUAUUAGAUAGGACUGACAAACCCAGGGGUUACCCGUUAGCAUAUUUAUAUGUAUAGGACUGAUCCCAGGAGUCAUCCGCUAGAUUAGGAAUGACUCCACAGCAGAUGUCUUUACUGGUGGUGCGGUACUGACACCCUUCUAGUCAGGGCAGAGAUUAGACCCCAUUCAGCUUAGCUUGGGGCAUGUCUGUUAGAUGAACACACCCCAUAGUUUCAGUUACAGAAUCAAGGCUUUCAGACACAGUCAACUCAGCUUAGUAGUACAGAUUCAGUACUGUUAGAUAUAGUCAAUGCUUAUCAUUGUAAAUAGACU
rnacentral:lncRNA from 1 species